rnacentral:rRNA from 1 species
GACGAACGCUGGCGGCGUGCUUAACACAUGCAAGUCGAACGGAAAGGCCCUGCUUUUGUGGGGUGCUCGAGUGGCGAACGGGUGAGUAACACGUGAGUAACCUGCCCUUGACUUUGGGAUAACUUCAGGAAACUGGGGCUAAUACCGGAUAGGAGCUCCUGCUGCAUGGUGGGGGUUGGAAAGUUUCGACGGUUGGGGAUGGACUCGCGGCUUAUCAGCUUGUUGGUGGGGUAGUGGCUUACCAAGGCUUUGACGGGUAGCCGGCCUGAGAGGGUGACCGGCCACAUUGGGACUGAGAUACGGCCCAGACUCCUACGGGAGGCAGCAGCGGGGAAUAUUGCACAAUGGGCGGAAGCCUGAUGCAGCAACGCCGCGUGCGGGAUGACGGCCUUCGGGUUGUAAACCGCUUUCGCCUGUGACGAAGCGUGAGUGACGGUAAUGGGUAAAGAAGCACCGGCUAACUACGUG